AUGCAUUGUUGUGUUGUAGCAAUAUCCAUGACUGGAACAACUUCACACCGACUAAAUGGAGCAGGUCUGAAUGAAACCGGAACCAGAGAACACAGAUCACAUUGCCAAGAACCAUACAUACCUGGACCACAUGUAACACCAGAGGGGGACGUAACACAACCAUACCGCCCUCGACUGGACACGCUACAGGGGGACAUAACACAACCAUACCAUCCUCGACUGGACACGCUACAGGGGGACAUAACACAACCAUACCGUCCUCGACUGGACACGCUACAGGGGGACAUAACACAACCACACAGUCCUCGACUGGACAAGUUAGAGGGGGACAUAACACAACCACACAGUCCUCGACUGGACACGUUAGAGGGGGACAUAACACAACCACACAGUCCUCGACUGAACAAGUUAGAAGGGGACAUAACACAACCAUACAGUCCUCGACUGGACACGUUACAGGGGGACAUAACACAACCAUACAGUCCUCGACUGGACACGUUACAGGGGGACAUAACACAACCAUACAGUCCUCGACUGGACAAGUUAGAGGGGGACAUAACACAACCAUACCGUCCUCGACUGGACAUGUUAGAGGGGGACAUAACACAACCAUACAGUCCUCAACUGGACACGUUAGAUGGUGCUGCUUCGGAGACAACAGGAAGUUCUUCACUGGGAUCACAGUUGCUACUGACAGCACAGCUAGAUGGUGACAUAGUCAUUGGUGACCCUUUAGGGGGUGAUGAUCUAGAAAUUGAUGUGCUAGGAGGUAACGUGCCAGGAGGUGACACUCUAAGGGGUGACACUAUAGGAGGUGAUACUCUAGAAGCUGAUGCUCUAGGAGGUAAUACGCUAGGGGGUGACGAUCUAGGGGGUGACACAGCAGAAGGUGACGCUCUAGGAGGUGAUGCUAUAGGAGUUGGCACUCUAGGAGGUGAUGCAUUAAACCAUGACGGUCUAGGAAGUAACGCUCUAGGAGGUGAAGCUCUAGAAGGUGACGUUCUAGGAGGUAACGCUCUAGAAGGUGACGUUCUAGGAGGUAACGCUCUAGAAGGUGACGUUCUUGGAGGUAAUGCUCGAUCUUGUGGUUCUAUACUUGGAACUUAUUCUCAAGACCAUGAUGCAACAAUAUUGUCAAGUCAAAAAUGGGAUUUACCGGCACCAUGUACAUCAAGAAAUGAUGAGGAAGAAAGAUGUCAUCUUCUACACACACAUACAGAUGUCAAUAAAGACAUCUAA
rnacentral:lncRNA from 1 species